CUCUCGACUUCUGAGCCACAUUUAAGGGGCAGCACCACCGACAUCUAGGACAGAUUCUUGGGCGACCAAGGGGGAAGAGCCCGCCACCCCCAGCACCCCUGAUAGAAGAUACCAUGUAAUAGGGCGUUCCAGGUUUGAGUAUGUUGCCAGAGACAUCAUAAACGGCGGCACCAUCAGCGGUGAGGGUGGAAAGGACGAGUAGGAGAGUUGAGGCAAGGAGCAGCUUCAUGGUUGCAAAUGCUGAU
rnacentral:misc_RNA from 1 species